AUUGAACGCUGGCGGCAGGCCUAACACAUGCAAGUCGAACGCGUGGCGGACGGGUGAGUAAUGUCUGGGACACUGCCCGAUGGAGGGGGAUAACGACUGGAAACGGUAGCUAAUACUGCAUACCAUCGAAUGUGGCCAGAUGGGAUUAGCUAGUGGGUGGGGUAACAGCUCACCUAGGCGACGAUCCCUUGCUGGUCUGAGAGGAUGACCAGCGCCACUGGACCGGAGACACGGUCAAGACUCCUCUGUGAGGCAGCAGUGGGGUAUAUGGCACAAUGGGCGCAAGCCUGAUGUGGCCAUGCCGCGUGUAUGAAGAAGGCCUUCGGGUUGUAAAGUACUUUCAGCGAGGAAGCGUUACUCGCAGAAGAAGCACCGGCUAACUCCGUGCCAGCAGCCGCGGUAAUUC
rnacentral:rRNA from 1 species